rnacentral:rRNA from 1 species
UCACAGACGGUAGAGAUUCCGUCACCACCAAAAGAGUUAAACACAGGGACACAUUUGAAGUCUCGGAGCCGGGUGUUGGUUCCGGUAGCGAUCGAGGGAAGUUAGUACCGAAGUCCGGGAUGGAAGAUGGCGAGAAAAGCUGUGUGUAUUUCUGCGGUGCCCGUACCGCAAACCGACACAGGUAGGUAGGAAGAAGAUUCUAAGGCCAACGGGAGAAGGGUUGUUAAGGAACUCGGCAAAUUGACCCCGUAACUUCGGGAGAAGGGGUGCUCCAGCGAUGGAGCCGCAGAGAAUCGGCCCAAGCAACUGUUUACCAAAAACACAGGUUUGUGCUAAAUCGAAAGAUGACGUAUACGAGCUGACGCCUGCCCGGUGCUGGAAGGUUAAGAGGAGAUGUGCAAGCAUUGAAUCGAAGCCCCAGUGAACGGCGGCCGUAACGAUAACGGUCCUAAGGUAGCGAAAUUCCUUGUCAGGUAAGUUCUGACCCGCAUGAAAGGCGUAAUGAUUUGGGCACUGUCUCGACAGCCCGCCCGGCGAAAUUGUAGUACCGGUGAAGAUGCCGGUUACCCGCGACAAGACGGAAAGACCCCAUGGAGCUUUACUGUAGCCUAAUAUUGGGUUUCGAUGUUGCAUGCACAGGAUAGAUGGGACACUGGGAAGUGAUCGCUUUGGCGGUCAUGGAGUGGCCGUUGGGAUACCAUCCUUGCGAUAUUGGAAUUCUAACCUGCGCCUUUGAAUCAAGGCGGGGGACAUUGUUAGGUGGGCAGUUUGACUGGGGCGGUCGCCUCCUAAAGAGUAACGGAGGCGUUCAAAGGUUCGCUCAGCUUGAACGGAAAUCAAGCAAAAGAGUGCAAACGCAGAAGCGAGCCUAACUGCGAGACUGACGGGUCGAGCAGUAACGAAAGUUGGAGUUAGUGAUCCGGUGGUAUGUGAGUGGAAAUGCCAUCGCUCAACGGAUAAAAGUUACCCUGGGGAUAACAGGCUGAUCUCCCCCAAGAGUCCACAUCGACGGGGAGGUUUGGCACCUCGAUGUCGGCUCAUCGCAUCCUGGGGCUGUAUUCGGUCCCAAGGGUUUGGCUGUUCGCCAAUUAAAGCGGUACGCGAGCUGGGUUCAGAACGUCGUGAGACAGUUCGGUCCCUAUCUGUCGUGGGCGCAGGAUAUUUGAUGGGAGCUGUUCCUAGUACGAGAGGACCGGAGCGGACGUACCUCUGGCGCACCAGUUGUUCUGCCAAGAGCAUAGCUGGGCAACUAUGUACGGAUCGGAUAAACGCUGAAAGCAUCUAAGCGUGAAGCCGACCCAAAGAUAAGAUAUCCCACUGAUUUGAUCAGGUAAGAUCCCUUGAAGACUACAAGGUUGAUAGGCACAAUGUGUAAGUGGAGUGAUCCAUUCAGCAAGCGUGUACUAAUAGAUCGAGGGCUUGACUAA